rnacentral:lncRNA from 1 species
AGUAUCUAUAUUAAUUGAAAAAGAUUUUAUAUUAAUAAGUGUACGAUAUUGUUAAGCAUAGGUAAAUAAAUAAAGCAAGUCAGUUUAUUAUAAAUAUUUCAAAAGUUAAAGUUUCAGAUUCUGUCAAUAUUCUCAAAGAAUAAUUUUUUUUUUAUGCUUCAUUUAUGGGCAUUAUGUUUUCUGGUCUGUGCAUCCGUUCCUUCAUCUGUCCGUUCGUUCGUCCGUCUGUUCCUCUUCAGGUUAAAGUUUUAGUUUUUGAUGAAGUUAAGUCCAAUCAACUUGAAACUUAGUAAACAUGUUCCCUAUGAUAUGAUCUUUCUACUUUUAAUACCAAAUUAGAGAUUUUACCGCAUUUUCACGGUCCACUGAACAGAAAAUGAUAGUGCGGAUGGGACAUCAGUGUACUAGGGACACAUUCUUGUUACAUAUUUAUAAAAGUUAACAAACAUGGGAAAAGAUGUGAAAGUCAUACAAAUAGUAUUAAACAAUUACACAGCUGCUUUAUGAACACCAAAAAUUGUGUAAGAUGUUCUUUAAAAACAAAUAUUAUUUUCAUAUGUAAUGUAUUUAAUUUAUUUUGUUUUGCAUGCUUAUAUGCUCAUAAUAACUUGUCAUGAAUAAUUUGAAAAAUGUACCAUAGAAUUUGUAUCUUACUGAUGUGUAUGUGAUUAAAACAGAAACAGAGCCUAGGUCAUCUAAGAAUUGACUUUUUAGUAUGCUGUUGGAUGUAUUGCACUCCAUUGUAUCUCAUAUUGCAAUAUUUAGUUUAGUCAUUUUGUGAGUGCUUUUAUUUUUAUUAAUCUUAUCUGAACUUUUGUAAGCCUCUACAAGAAAGUGUUCAAUAAAUAUCAGAAA